UACGUAGGGUGCAAGCGUUAAUCGGAAUUACUGGGCGUAAAGCGUGCGCAGGCGGUUAUGCAAGACAGAUGUGAAAUCCCCGGGCUCAACCUGGGAACUGCAUUUGUGACUGCAUGGCUAGAGUGCGGCAGAGGGGGAUGGAAUUCCGCGUGUAGCAGUGAAAUGCGUAGAUAUGCGGAGGAACACCGAUGGCGAAGGCAGCCCCCUGGGAUAACACUGACGCUCAUGCACGAAAGCGUGGGGAGCAAACAGG
rnacentral:rRNA from 1 species